rnacentral:rRNA from 1 species
AGAUUGAACGCUGGCGGAAUGCUUUACACAUGCAAGUCGAACGGCAGCACGGGGGCAACCCUGGUGGCGAGUGGCGAACGGGUGAGUAAUACAUCGGAACGUGCCCAGUCGUGGGGGAUAACUACGCGAAAGCGUAGCUAAUACCGCAUACGAUCUACGGAUGAAAGCGGGGGAUCGCAAGACCUCGCGCGAUUGGAGCGGCCGAUGGCAGAUUAGGUAGUUGGUGGGGUAAAGGCUCACCAAGCCGACGAUCUGUAGCUGGUCUGAGAGGACGACCAGCCACACUGGGACUGAGACACGGCCCAGACUCCUACGGGAGGCAGCAGUGGGAAUUUUGGACAAUGGGCGAAAGCCUGAUCCAGCCAUUCCGCGUGCAGGAUGAAGGCCCUCGGGUUGUAAACUGCUUUUUGUACGGAACGAAAGCCUUUUACUAAUACAAGAAGGUCAUGACGUACGUAAGAAUAAGCACCGGCUAACUACGUGCCAGCAGCCGCGUAAUCUA